GAGUAACCUGCCCUUGACUCUGGGAUAAGCCUGGGAAACUGGGUCUAAUACCGGAUAUGACUCCUCAUCGCAUGGUGGGGGGUGGAAAGCUUUUGUGGUUUUGGAUGGACUCGCGGCCUAUCAGCUUGUUGGUGAGGUAAUGGCUCACCAAGGCGACGACGGGUAGCCGGCCUGAGAGGGUGACCGGCCACACUGGGACUGAGACACGGCCCAGACUCCUACGGGAGGCAGCAGUGGGGAAUAUUGCACAAUGGGCGAAAGCCUGAUGCAGCGACGCCGCGUGAGGGAUGACGGCCUUCGGGUUGUAAACCUCUUUCAGUAGGGAAGAAGCGAAAGUGACGGUACCUGCAGAAGAAGCGCCGGCUAACUACGUGCCAGCAGCCGCGGUAAUACGUAGGGCGCAAGCGUUAUCCGGAAUUAUUGGGCGUAAAGAGCUCGUAGGCGGUUUGUCGCGUCUGCCGUGAAAGUCCGGGGCUCAACUCCGGAUCUGCGGUGGGUACGGGCAGACUAGAGUGAUGUAGGGGAGACUGGAAUUCCUGGUGUAGCGGUGAAAUGCGCAGAUAUCAGGAGGAACACCGAUGGCGAAGGCAGGUCUCUGGGCAUUAACUGACGCUGAGGAGCGAAAGCAUGGGGAGCGAACAGGAUUAGAUACCCUGGUAGUCCAUGCCGUAAACGUUGGGCACUAGGUGUGGGGGACAUUCCACGUUUUCCGCGCCGUAGCUAACGCAUUAAGUGCCCCGCCUGGGGAGUACGGCCGCAAGGCUAAAACUCAAAGGAAUUGACGGGGGCCCGCACAAGCGGCGGAGCAUGCGGAUUAAUUCGAUGCAACGCGAAGAACCUUACCAAGGCUUGACAUGGACCGGAUCGCCGCAGAAAUGUGGUUUCUCCUUUGGGGCCGGUUCACAGGUGGUGCAUGGUUGUCGUCAGCUCGUGUCGUGAGAUGUUGGGUUAAGUCCCGCAACGAGCGCAACCCUCGUUCCAUGUUGCCAGCACGUAGUGGUGGGGACUCAUGGGAGACUGCCGGGGUCAACUCGGAGGAAGGUGGGGACGACGUCAAAUCAUCAUGCCCCUUAUGUCUUGGGCUUCACGCAUGCUACAAUGGCCGGUACAAAGGGUUGCGAUACUGUGAGGUGGAGCUAAUCCCAAAAAGCCGGUCUCAGUUCGGAUUGGGGUCUGCAACUCGACCCCAUGAAGUCGGAGUCGCUAGUAAUCGCAGAUCAGCAACGGUGCGGUGAAUACGUUCCCGGGCCUUGUACACAC
rnacentral:rRNA from 1 species